GGACAGCUGAAGGGCCAUGCUGACUGUUUUGGUUGCUCUUUUACCUGGUAUUGUGAUCGGAUACAUCUUCAUUGCACAGCAGCCAGAAGAAAUCUUUCAGAGAGUUGGAGACACUGUGAACAUCUCCUGCAACCAGAAAAACAGUUACCUUGCCUUUAUGUUCUGGUACCAGCAGCCUCCAAGAAAUGGUCUGAAGUUAAUAGUCAGUACUACUUCAUUGAGGGAGAAAUUUUAUGAGGACGGUUAUAGUGAGGCCAAGUUUGAGAUAAGCAGAAAGUAUACUUACACUGUGAUGACAAUCAAGAAUGUGACAUCCAAGGAUGUAGCCACGUAUUUCUGUGCCGCGAGUGAUCACACGAGGACUGAGAGUAGAGGAGAGGUUUUUCUGCAGCUGCAAAACAGUGUGAAUAAUGAAAGACUGUACUUUGGCAGUGGGACAAAACUCACAGUCAUGGAGAAGGAUAAGGAAAUCAUACCUCCAUCUGUGGCCAUCUUUUUCCCAUCAAAGCAGGAAAUCCAGCAGAAGAAUAAGGCCACACUGGUGUGCCUGGCCUCUGGUUUCUACCCUGACCACCUGACUCUGGUCUGGAUGGUAAAUGAUGUUAAAAGGACAAAAGGAGUGGGGACAGACGAAUUCUCCACACAGAAUGGGAGUACCUACUCGCUGACCAGCCGACUGAGGAUCCCAGCCUGGGAAUGGUUCAACCCUUUGAAUAAUUUUGAGUGUGUUGCCAAUUUUUUUCAGAAUGGAAAAGAGGAAUCCAUACACAAAGUUAUCUCUGGUGAUGCUGGCUGUGCAGUUACAGAAGAUUCGUACUUGCGGUAUGGAAAUUCUGUGAAGCUCACUUACCUCAUUCUCUGUGGCAAAGCCUUGAUCUAUGCAGUUUUGGUGAGCAGUCUGUUGUGGAGAGCCAAGGUAGGUGGCAAGUUGUAUAAAGAAUGAAUGAAGACCCCUCUUCAUCACGUCAGCAGAAACACAACAAAUUAUACCCUCUACCUUUCCAUAACAAAGGAUCUAUGCUUCUAAGAACUUCUAAAUAUUUUUUGAUGAUUCUUUGUCCUGCUCCUGUUCUCCACUUUGUUGUACUCGCUGCUGGAUUUUUCCUGUUCUUCCAUAUCAUAUAUUAUCAUAUUGUAUUGUCUCAUAUGUUUAAAACUAGCACCUUCUUAAUGCUCAGAGGCUGAGAACUCAACUCCUUGAUUUAGGAAUAAAUUUUUAGCUUCUUUUCCAUUGAAAAAA